rnacentral:rRNA from 1 species
CGGCAGGCCUAACNCACUGCAAGUCGAGCGGAUGACGGGACGCUUGCUCCUUGAUUCAGCGGCGGACGGGUGAGUAAUGCCUAGGAAUCUGCCUGGUAGUGGGGGACAACGUUUCGAAAGGAACGCUAAUACCGCAUACGUCCUACGGGAGAAAGCAGGGGACCUUCGGGCCUUGCGCUAUCAGAUGAGCCUAGGUCGGAUUAGCUAGUUGGUGAGGUAAUGGCUCACCAAGGCGACGAUCCGUAACUGGUCUGAGAGGAUGAUCAGUCACACUGGAACUGAGACACGGUCCAGACUCCUACGGGAGGCAGCAGUGGGGAAUAUUGGACAAUGGGCGAAAGCCUGAUCCAGCCAUGCCGCGUGUGUGAAGAAGGUCUUCGGAUUGUAAAGCACUUUAAGUUGGGAGGAAGGGCAGUAAGUUAAUACCUUGCUGUUUUGACGUUACCGACAGAAUAAGCACCGGCUAACUCUGUGCCACACG